rnacentral:lncRNA from 1 species
GUCGUCUGGGAACGGCUGGUUUCGCGGUCAGACGCCGAGGGCCCUCGAAGUCCCUAGCAACGGCUGCGGAGGGAGAUGAUGCAGGAUGGCUUUAAAGGAUACUGCUGGUGGGAAAUUGAGUCAUUGAAGACCCAGGGAACAGCAGAAGGUACACUCUAUACUCAUUUUAUUACAGAGGCCAGUGAACACACUUGGUAGAUGAUACAAGUACUUAAUCCUGGUUGGUUUACCCAUUCUAAAUUAUUUAUGUGAGAUAGCUAUCUAUUUGGAAAAAAGUAAAGUGAAAGUCUUACCUCAAUCCACACUCAAAAAUAGUUUACUAUAUGACAGAUCUAUGGCAGGCAGAUUUGAUGGCUCAAUGAACUCCACCCUCCCAGUGUUCACACCUUUAUGUAGUUCCCACUUACAGGGAGCCAAAGGUCCGUGGGACGUGACCAACUCAGCAUUCCA